GCAAGUUCUAAGUGAGAGCAAGGUAAUGAAUAAAAUAUCAGAGAAAGUAAAGGUGAAUAAUCCAAUGCAAUGAAGUAAUGUUUGCAGAUAUUUAAGGUGGAUAACUAUAUUUAGUUUGGUUUUCUGAUGAGAAGGUUCUUAAGUAUUAGUGUAAAAAAUGCUCUUAUAUUAUGAAAAUAAUGUCUAUGUUUUGUGCGACUUUUGCUAUAAUUAUGGUUACUAUUGUAUUUUGAAUAUGUUGCAUGCAUACGUAAUGGAUAUGCACAAUCUUGGAUCUUCUGUGCUCCGUCUGAGUAUGAUAUGGUCUUAUUUACCAUGACCACUAGUUUACUCAUGGCUUGAAAUAUUGCUAGAAGAUUGCCCAACUUGUAUUAAGAGUAAAACUUUGUACUGAAGUGUAUCAGAAAUCACGAGUUCUCUCUCUUGUUCGUUUUAACUUUCAUAUAGGUUAACUAUGAAGACUGUAUCUUUGCUCUGUAGUUUCCCAAAAGUAAGGAGGCUAUGAGUUUAUCUUCCAUGCAUUCGGCAGAAGCAAGAUGGAAUUUAUCAACCCAGAAAAAAAUACAGAGAUGGCUUGAUGGGCCUAAAUAUAUGGGAAAGAAGAAUGAAUAGAAGACGAAGGUAUCAUGUGUAACUUGAGGACAUGAGGAUGAUCCAUUUUGCACGUACUGGAGCAACGGUUAGCUUAUUUCUACUGUUAACAUCAUUGAUGGAAAUUUGGAUGAAAGUUGAUGUGACAACAGAUGUACACGUACCUAUGAAUUUGUGAUUGCUACUUUUUGUUCUAAACCUGUGCAAUAGCUUAACUGAAAAGGCGGGGUAACUGUUUAAAAACUGCACUGUGGGGAAACCUUCAUCCCAGUUAAUGCCAUUAAAAAAUAAUCAUCGUCAUCUCCUGACAAUGAUAGCCUUAGCAGUGUAAUUGCCUUCAGUUUUCUACCAAGAAUCGUAUAACUCACUGCAAACUGUUGUCGCAUAUAUUGAUAUAUAUAUCAACUUUUAUUUCACAAUCAGUCAUUGUCGUAGAAUCAAUCUCAGCUUGCUUGAGUGCUUUAUCAUAUGUUCUGGUCCAUCACCAAUUGUAUACAGUUCAUUGCUCAUUAUUUUAUAAGAUCCUGUUUUUAAGUAUCACAGUUAGCAUAGUUAAAUAUGAUGACUUGGUCAUACAUGAUCUUGUACAGCCUCUCUUUCUGUCAAAGGUAUCCCCAUUUUUUUUGCCAUGCUACUUUCUGUAUCAU